GGUCCGUUAGCUCAGUUGGUAGAGCAGUUGACUUUUAAUCAAUUGGUCGCAGGUUCGAAUCCUGCACGACCCACCA
rnacentral:tRNA from 2 species